rnacentral:misc_RNA from 1 species
UCACCGAGACGCGCAAGUAGCUGAUCGACCGCCCGAAGGGGUCGGUCAUCGCAGAUGUCGUGGCCAGGGAACUUGGAAAAGGUUCGCUCAUUCAGCGCCAUGCAUAUUGNNNNNNGGCCGCGCCCGCCGUGGUAUCCCAAGCACAAUCUAGGCACGAUGAAGCGCGCUUACAAACGAAUCCAGCUAUGCAGACAGCACUAAUGGAACGGGGUCAGC